CCCCGGGGCCCAGCAGCACAUCCUGCACCUCCACCCAUCCGCUGGUCCUGAGCGGCCCCAGCUCCGCUCCUCCAUCACACUUUGCUCCCUGGCUAAAACUCCUUCAGCUUUGGGGGAGGUGGGUGUGAUGUGUGAGAAACUGGGAGCACUGAGGCACCUCCACUGUGAGAGGGAAGCCAAGCAGGAAAGCAUCUCAGUUCUGAAGAAGGCUUUGUUUCCAUGAAACCUCGCUGCAUUUUCCAGCCAUUCCAGUCGGUCAGGAGGAUGGAGCCGAUGUGGGAUUUAUUCCAGUUCUACACCAGCACACUGAGUGCAAGCAGAAGCACUUUCACUGCAAGGAGAGCUCAUCUCAGAUGGGACUGGGAGUGCUGGCAGUGCAGGGAGAGCACAACAGGGCAGAAUGGGAAGGUGGCAGCCCUGGGAGCGUGCCCAGGCACCGGCUCUGCCAGCCCACAGGCAUUCAUAGAUUACAGGCCGUGCUCCCAAAUCGUCUCACAGCAUCUAAAAUAAACUCAGAUCUGAUCACCACCUGGCGUUGAGAUCUGUAAGUGCAGUUUUCUGUCCAAAGGGCUGAAAAUACGUCCUAUGAGCAACAGUGGGGGGAAAAAAUAAGAAGGAAAAAUGAGCAGAAAAUUGAUGCUUUUGUGCAAACUGCUGAGCUGGGACCAGCAGGUAAAACACAGCGAUCUUUGAGGAGAGGCACUGGCAUAGCAGCACAGCCCUCCUGGGAGCAAUCUGGACAUCCCAACUUUGCUGCUGCUCCAGGAAGGACCAAAAAGUUGCAAUUCCUGAACAUGGCACUGAGAAAAAGUCCUCCCAGACUCUCUGGGACUGUCAAAGCACUCUGCGUGGAACUGCCAGGGUGGUCUGACCUGAACGUCAGCACUGCACGUCUCCUCGUGGCUGUGAAGCACAAGGUGCACCAAAGCAAGGAGUCAAGGCAAGAAAGUCCAAAUGCAACGCUGGGACUCACUCCCUUCUCUUAUCUCUGCAAAGCUGCUGUGAGCUGGGCUGCCUAUCUGCUGCCAAGUGUGCUUGCUGCGCUGGCUCUCUCUUAUCUAAUCUGGGCCUGGGAGUCUCCUGGGUGAUUUGUGACUGGGAUUGAACCAAAUCAGAGCUCUACUUGUACCCAAGAAGACCAAAGACCAAACUCAACAGACACAGCAAAGGAGCUGCAUCAUCCCAGCUGGACGGAUCCCUCACGCUCUGCGAGGGAAACAUCACUGAGGCAACCUCAGGUCUCUGUUGCCAUCAUCUGCCAGUUACCUGGUCCAGCCAACACCCCCAGGUGGUCCUACGAUCCACGCAAUGAACACGACCCGCUAUUCCUGAGGCUUAUGAGGCAUGAGGACGGCCCUCAGAGGCUGAAGGAGAAGGGCAAGGGCAGC